AUUUAAAUAGUUUAUUGAAAAAUAUUGAUUUGUGGGAUCAAAGAAAUAAAUAUAUGUAUAUUAUUUUAAAUA
rnacentral:tRNA from 1 species